rnacentral:rRNA from 1 species
AGUGGCGGACGGGUGAGUAACGCGUAGGAACCUACCUGGUAGCGGGGGACAACCUGGUGAAAACCAGGCUAAUACCGCAUACGCCCUACGGGGGAAAGCAGGGGAUCUUCGGACCUUGCACUAUCAGAUGGGCCUGCGUCGGAUUAGCUAGUUGGUGAGGUAAUGGCUCACCAAGGCGACGAUCCGUAGCUGGUUUGAGAGAAUGAUCAGCCACACUGGGACUGAGACACGGCCCAG